rnacentral:rRNA from 1 species
AAAAUUAGAGUGUUCAAAGCAGGCAGACAUUAAUCUCUGCCACCGAAUACAUUAGCAUGGGAUAAUGGAAUAGGACCCUGUCCUCCUAUUUUCAGUUGGUUUUCGAGGACCAGGGUAAUGAUUAAUAGGGAUAGUUGGGGGCAUUAAUAUUUAAUUGUCAGAGGUGAAAUUCUUGGAUUUAUGAAAGAUUAACUUUCUGCGAAAGCAUCUGCCAAGGAUGUUUUCAUUAAUCAAGAACGAAAGUUAGGGGAUCGAAGACGAUCAGAUACCGUCGUAGUCUUAACCAUAAACGAUGCCGACCAGCGAUUAGGAGACGUUGAAUACAAAACACCACCAUCAGGCGGGUCGUUCCUGGCCAGCUUCGCGCAAGCGGGGUUGGUGGGGGCGAUUCGUUUCCCUGAUGGCCCGGUGAA